UGUGAUACGCAUUGUGUUAAUUUGGACAGAGAUUAGUUCUGCUACUGGAGUUAAAACGCUUGCGUGGACGGAGAUCGUUUUUGUCUCAAAACUUAAAAAGGAA